CUGAUCUCGAACUCCCGACCUCAGGUGAUCUGUCCACCUCAGCCUCCCAAAGUGCUGGGAUUACAGGCAUGACCCACCACAACUGGCCCAAAGCUAUGUUCUUUUAACAAAAAAUUACAAGACAAGCAAAGAUGCAGGAAAGUGUAGCCCAUACAAGGAAAAGAUAUAAUAAAAACCACCUGAGGAAAUCUUGAUCUCCUAGAUAUGGACUUUACGUGAGAUAUUUUCAGUAUGAUCAAAUAACUAAAAGAAACCACAUCUAAAGAACUAAAGAGAAGUGUAAGAGCUACGUCUUACCAUACAAAGAAUAAGACGAAAAUUAUAAAUAAGAACCAAAUAGAAAUUCUGUAUUUGAAAACUACAAUAACUGAAAUAAAAAAUUCAAUAGGGACACUCAACAGCAGAUUUGAGCAGGGAGAAAAAAAGAAUCAAUGAACUUGAAGAUAGAUCAAUUGAGAUUAUCCAGUCUGAGGAGCAGAAAGAAAAAAGGAUUAAGAAAAAUGAACAGACCUGUAGACCAUCUGGUAUGCCAUAGAAAACACAAACAUAUACAUAAAGACAGACCUUUGGUAUACCAUCGAGCAUACCAACAUAUGCAUGAAGAGAGUUCCAGAAGGAGACGAGAGAGAGAGGAAAGGACAGAAAAAAAUAUUUGAAGAACUAAUGGUCAAAAUUUUCAAAUGUGAUGAGACACAUUAAUCCACACAUUCAAGAAAACUCAAUGAACUCCAAGUAUGAUAAACUCAAAGAGAACCACACCUGACUACAUCAUAAUAAAACUGUCAAGUGUCAAAGAUGAAGAGAUAAUCUUGAAAAUAACAAGAGAAAAGCAACACAUGAUAGUACAAAGGAUCCUCAGUAAAAUUAACAGCUGAUUUCUCAUCAGAAAGCACAGAGGCUACUAAGUAGAAAGAUGAUAUAUUCAAAGUGCUGAAAGAAAAAGACUGUCAACCAAAAAUUCUGUAAAUACCAUCACUUUGGUGAUUAAGAUUCAACAUAAGAAUUUCAAGAGGACACAAACAUUCAGACCGUAGCACUAAUGAUCACAGAACCCAAGGGAAGCAGCUUGAUGUUAUCUAGUUGUCUUAAAAUUUUCUCAUGUUCUUGACAUUCUUUGUUUACUCUGCCAAUACCUUGCCUUGUGUUAUUAGAGGAGAUUCCUUGUGAAGUGUUAAGAGAUUUGUCUUUGAAGUCAGAUAUGAGUUUACUCCUGACUUAGCUACUCCAAAGCUGGCUUCAUGAGCAUGCAACCUAUGCAGUCACCCCAAACCCCACACGCAGAAGGGCCCCACACUUGGUUUAAUGCUCUGUUGUUGUCCUGCAUUUAUUAAUAAUUUUAUCUUUGAGCUUGUUUUUUAUAAAUGAAGUCUGACAGCACGAUAUUUAUGUCCACAAUUCCUUGCCUCCUCAUUCACACAGAGCAUUCACAAUACCCUGUGAACACAGAAUUCCAGUGGGCUCACAAGGUGCAGAAGUUUAGUGGGAAUCAAAGUGAGUACAAAGUAUUAAGAAAAGUAUGUCUGUGGCUGAGCAAGCCGGGGCACUGACAGCCUGAAGAGACCACAUUCUCCAUUGGAACAGGAACUUGUUUUGAGUGCAGAAAGAUGGUGAAGGCAUGCUAAAAAAGAAAAAAAGAAAAACAACAACAACAAAAAAACAAGGAGCCUUAUCAUAUCCUUUCUUACUCAUGGUAUUUCCUUGUAUUAGGGAACUAUUAUGUGUACCUUGAAUAUGAUAACAUAGAAAGAAAGGGAAAGAUAGGAUAAUUCACAGUUUCUUUUUCUUUCAGGCUUUCCUUGUCCUCAGAAAGCAAAGGUGG
rnacentral:lncRNA from 10 species